UAAAUGUUUGGCAAGAAGAAAUGAUGGAUUAGUUGCUGUCCUUCAUUGAACAGCAGACAGAAGCAUCAUUCAGCAAAGAUUACCACAGAAACUGUACCCUCGUGUUCAGUGAAGGGAAUUUCUGCUUCAUUUCCUACCAGGAUCUCAGGUGCACUGGCUUGGGAAGGGGGGAAGUGUGGAAACAAGGAGGCAAAGGCUGAAAUGAGAGUGAGGGAGACAAAUGUGAAGGAGAAAGUCAAAUGAAAGAGAGGGAGAUAAAGGAAAAGGAGAGAAGACAGAGAAAGAACAAUAGAAGGAAAAGAUGUGAGGAAAUAAGAAAUCUAUUUAUGUAUUAGAGGACAGUGAGUGCUUAACAUGGCCACUGGCUACACCUAUGACACCACAAUGCUAAAUGACACCCUGUCCAGAGACAACCUGACCUCAUUAUAGCUUCAGAGAGAUUUUCAACCAAAGGAGCUACCAGAGGUAUCAGUCCUGAAAGGGCAUCUUGGAGUUUAAGGAAGCCUUGCUGAAAGACAUAGGCCAAGCCCUUAGAACUGCCUGAGAGUUAGAGGCCCAAAGAAGCCAACAGUGGGGCGUAAGGAGGAGGCUCCUCCUUGGACAUGAUGUCCAAGCUCACAUGCCUCAAAGUGUAUAGAAGUCUCUGUACCUGACAAAAGGCUUCUGGAGUCCCCUCAGAACUCCCCCCAGUUCUCAGGAAUACAAAGAAGAUAGAGAGACAAAGAUAGGCUGGACAUCACAGUGGGGGAAAGUGCUUUGAGAAAACACAGCAGGCUCACAAGCUUCAUUACAAAAUAUACAGGAGGAUGAAUCUUCCCCUAAAUAUUUGUUGUUUGCUGCACAGAUCUGACACAAUUAAGAACUGCUAGAGGUGAGUGACACCUAUACGUUAAAUAAAAAGGGGUGGCUUUGGUGAUCCAUAUUAUAUGGUUGACAUCAGGCUCCAUUCUGACUUUGUUAAUUAUAGCAUUGCUGCCAAAAUGUGUCAGAGCCAUCCCAAGCAGUGGGUGCUGUAUGUGUGAAUGUCCCUGAAAGCUGAAAUUUUAUAAAACCUUUAACAUUACCCAUCUUAAGUAAAAGCACUUGUAAGAAAAAUCCCUCUUUUACAAUCACAUUUUGGCUCUCAAUGUGUUAAUAAAGCCAUUAGGUAGAGGUGAUUUUGCAAUGUCAAAAAAAAUGACUUUGAUGGCGAGAGAAUCCUUGAUGAAAAAUUUCACUACCAUUAGUGCCUCUAAGAAGUAAAUAGGACUUCUCGGUUUCAACGUAUUUAAGUUAAUGGAUCACUUCAUACUAGAAAGAUGUCAAUAUGUAGGAGCUAUCAGAUAAAAUGAGUCUGGAUAUUUAAGCUUGCAUCUUACAGAUUCUCUCAAGAAUAUCCCAAAUGAAGUUUUCAGUUUGUACAUAAAAUAAACACACUGAGAACUGACACCAGGGGAUCAUAUCAGAUAUAUACAUUUAUUACUCCUGUCACCUAAUAAAUUUGCUUAUUUAAUCAUGAUCUUUCAAAAUACUCAACAUGUAACAUAAUAGUGUGGGGAAAUUGGGGCAAAGGAACAAUAAGGUUAGAAAAUAAAAAGAGAACUAGGAAGGAGGCCGUGAGAUCUUGUACAAGGCCUCAAAUUUGGCUCUGAGCUUCCUAGCAGCCAAAGAUAAAGAGGAAAUAUUAUUUUCAGGAGGAAACAUUUAUUUUAAGAGGAAACAUUCAUUUUAAGAUUAGUUAUAAGAGUCAUAGAACCCAUGAGAAAAAAGACCAGUAAAUGAAGAACAAAGUAAAUGUAACAAUAUAGCCAAGUCAGAUGUUAUUCAGCUUAGUUCAACAAAAGAACAUACCAGAAUAUGUAGAAUGCUAUAAAUUAAUGGUUCUCAAACUAUAGCUUGUUAAGUAUCACCUGGAAAACUUAGAGAAG